rnacentral:rRNA from 1 species
GACGAACGCUGGCGGCGUGCUUAACACAUGCCAGUCGAACGGAAAGGCCCCUUUGGGGGUACUCGAGUGGCGAACGGGUGAGUAACACGUGAGUAACCUGCCCUUGACUUCGGGAUAACUUCAGAAAACUGGGGCUAAUACCGGAUAGGAAUCCUUGCUGCAUGGUGGGGGUUGGAAAGCUUCGGCGGUUUUGGAUGGACUCGCGGCUUAUCAGCUUGUUGGUGGGGUAGUGGCUUACCAAGGCUUUGACGGGUAGCCGGCCUGAGAGGGCGACCGGCCACAUUGGGACUGGGAUACGGCCCAGACUCCUACGGGAGGCAGCAGUGGGGAAUAUUGCACAAUGGGCGGAAGCCUGAUGCAGCAACGCCGCGUGCGGGAUGACGGCCUUCGGGUUGGAAACCGCUUUCAGCAGGGGCGAAGCUUGUGGUGACGGUACCUGCAGAAGAAGCACCGGCUAACUACGUG